GUUUAUCAUUUGAGCUAGGAUUACUGGAAAAGUAAAACAAUAUUUCAAAAUAAAUAGUAAUCCCAACCUUGUCCAAAGCUUUUAGCAAAACGAAAUUAGGUUUUCAUGCCACUUAAUAGUCAGAUUAUUUCACAGAACUUAUUAUUGUUAAAAAAAACACUAACCAUUAUAACCAACAAAUAAACAUAAUUUUGUACUUUCUGUGUUGACAGCAAAUUGGAUCCGUUACUUAAUAGUCAUUUUACUGAGAGUUUUCUUGGUCCUUAAUUUUAUUUGAUACAUCGAAAACGCUGGCUUAAUAGCUAAAAGAUUGUUAUGGAUGCUAUUAAGUGCUACGAUAAUUCGAUUAUGCACCAAUUUAGAUCCAGACCAAUCCAUUUGGCAAAGCUUUAUUUAUAACGCUCAAACAAAACUGAGAAUCAACUAGUAAACAAUGAUGAUCAGCGUCUUUCGGUUCUUUCUCCUAGCAACUCUCCUGGUUGCGAUUGUUAGUCCUGUUUUUGGACAAAAGGGCAGACAAAAGAGGAAUAUUGGUGCACGAUGCGGACGAGGAUGGUGUGUCACGAGGGAACAUCCUUGUACUAAUAUAUUUGAUUACUGCUCAAACCGAAAUGAGAAAUGUUGCGUCUUCCCAGAAUGGGCUAAACCGGUUUUUUAACAUGUAUUUCUUCCAGGAGGUAGCUACAAAAAGUGUUGUUCUUUAAUAAUAUGUUACUACAACUCCUCUUCAAUUUCAAUACAUCAAAAAAAAAAAUAAACAGCAUUUUUUGAGGGGCAUGGUGGUUGUCCACGCAUACCAGUGAAGAAACAAUGUUCGAAUUUUCGAUAUGAAAAAUGUUGGAAGAUUCCAGGAUGGAAACAAGACCCUUUUUGUUCCAGUUGCGAAUCCCCAAAUGGCUUUUGUAUAAAUUAAAGUAGCUUAUAUCUUUGGUUAUUCCCAGUUUUAAUACUAAUGGCACAACAAAAAGUUCGACUUAUAGAGACUUUAAAUUAUACUUCAUAUACUUAUACUUAUGUGUAUGCAUAUCUAUAAUAUGUGAAGCUACGUUUCUUCCUAUGAUUCUGAACUUAAGGACAAUAUUAUACAAGAAAUGCAACAAAAUAAGUACUAUGCAAAAUCAAUUAUUCUGAGCAUUAAUGGCUACAUUAAUUUCUCUUUAAAAUGCACUGUUGUUUUGACCAAGACUAAUUGGUUUAGCCUGACUCUAUAUAAAAGUCUUGAAAAAGUUUAUCUUAACUAGUUAACAAUGAUAAUCAGCUUAUAUUGGUUCCUUUUGGUAGCAGCUCUGCUGAGUGCGAUCGUUAGUCCUGUAUAUGGGCAAAAGGGCAGAAAAAAGAGGAAUGUUGGUGAACGAUGCGGACUCGGAUGGUGCGUAUUAAGAACCUUCAAAUGUCCACAUUGGAUCAAUGAUCAUUGUCAAAAUAAAAAUGAAAGAUGUUGCGUAUUUCCUGGAAUUCAGGGUUAAAGAAGUUAUACCCAAAAAGGAGACAGGUAUUGCAAACAUCGAAAUAUUCUAUAAAACAAAUACGAGUAUAUUACGAUUCUUGUGCGUAUUUGUUAAAAACUACAGAAGCUUUGUAUAUUUUCCGAUCAAUUUUCUGUUUUAAUAAAAUUAUAAUGGUUCUCCUGAAAUUGUUUACGUUUAUGAAGCUAUAAUUUUGAUUAAAAACCCAAAUAAACAAUUAAAGACCACCUGGAAAACGUGACUUUAGUAAUAUAUAAUUAUAUACUACCGAUCCAUAUUAACUUUUAAACCAUACUUAAACCAAUUGGCUUAACCAAUUUAAGUUCAGGAAAAUGCAAUUUUCACGGCAUUUAAAGUAUAAAAGAUGUCCACACAAGCUAGUCGGUUAAAUAAUUGCGCAACUUCAGCAAAGAUGAUCGGCUACUUGAAGGAGUUCCAGGAGGCAGCUCUCCUGUCAUCGUUCCUUGAUCCCAAUUAUGGACAACAUGCGGUCAAAGUGGAUAUUGUGCCCAACUCACCAAUCCUUGUCCAACAAUACCCGGAACUUGCCCUGCUGCCGAGAAAUGUUGCCGUGAUAGGCGCAAAGGGCGAAGUCCAUAUAUAAAAGUUCAUAAAAACAAUACUUUUCAAUUAAUACAAUUGUUAUAAUUUUUAGCAACUGUACCUUUCUAACUGAUUCUAUUAUUUAUGGGUAAAGGUUUAUAUGAGAAGAAAUUUUGUAAUUCACGCUUGCCACUCGUGACAUAUAGUAGAUGUCUUACGAUUUCGAAAAUAACAUUUGUAUUCCUAUAUAAAUCGAAUCGUUUUAUAGUGUGACAAGGGAUUUGCACAGGGAUUUGACAUGGUCAAAUAAAUUUAUAUUAUAAAGUUCAGUUCCCUGAAAGUAUAUACCAUAUAUCCAACUUAUUUAGAUCUUCUGUGUUAUGAUGUAAUAGAAAUAGCUGCUUACCAUAUGCAAACACCUUCUGACAUUAUUCACAAUAUGUUUUGAAGGUUUUGUGCCAGAUUUAUAUAACUCUCCCUAAUUCUUAUUCGUUUUUAGCGUUCCUUAUGAAAUUAGGUGUUAUGUAAUUGCAAUUAUCAUGCCACAAAUUAUAUUAGAUUCUCCAAAAAAUGAAAUACAAUCAUUUUAUUCGUUGCAUUGGAUAAGGAUGGAUAUCUAUUUAAAGGCCUUUCUUCUAAUUACUCUACUGUCCAUGAUAUAUCCUACCAGAGCCCCCACACACCCGGAUUGCGGUCCAGCUGGACGCUGCUAUACCGUCAACAAACAUUUUGGCAGUUUUAGGCAGACAAGAUGUGUUCCUUGCAAAAAGAAAACUAAAUGAUUUCUGUACAGAUAGGGUUACAAUUUAAAGCUUUGCUGAAAUAAAUAUCUAGAAUGGGAAAAAAUUAAUAGAAAGUAAAAAGGCGUUGACAUAUGUGUCCUUCUAGCAUUAAAUGGUCGUCAAACGCUGCUUUAAUUUAUUUUUUGACUUUUAUACAAUGGGGGUUUCAAGCUCCCAAUUAAAAAGCGUUAAGCCAAACAAUUUCUCGCAUUAAAAAUAAUCAAGGUUUGUUCGAUGUCAUAGAUGUUUCAACUGGUAGAAAUAUAACCAAAUUACACGUUUCACAAAGUUACAUUUAAUAUACAUUUUUCGGCAAGCAUUUUCGGAAUGUCAAGCUACUAAAUUAAACGAAGGAAGUUAUUUCGCUGAAACAAGAUGGUGAAAUAUUUGAUAAUGUAUGUGAUGACAUUCCUGCUCAGUCUUCUUGGCAUUUGUUUUUCAUAUGCCCCUAUUUGCUUUUGCUCCUAACGAAUAUUCAAAAAAUGUUUCGCUAUCAUAGGCAAUUUUUAAAGCUUAAGAUAUUUGAGACACGGCAAAUACAACUUUCACUGAUCCACAAAACUGCAAACAUCCCACAGAUGUAUGCGAAAAUAAUAUAUGCGAACGGGGAAAGGGAAUACAAAUACAUGGGAAUGCAAGGAUACCACACAAAAUGGAGGCUACAUUAUGAAUACACACUCAUAUCUGUGUGUUUGUUUUUUCCUGUGUGUGUUCUUGUUUUUGCGCCACGCCAAAGGAAAACUCUUUUUUUUUGCCUUUGUUGUACACAUUUUUGCACAUUCUGUGCUGACCAACAUGCCACAGGGCCGCCCGGCAAAACGUAACUUAAAUAUCACGCAUACGCAGCGAGAGCAGGACAUUACGUAUACGCAACGUUCGCUCGAAUGAAAUUAAGACCCGGCCAAGGGUGCGGGGAGAAAGCAAAAGUAAUUUUACACUUCACCAAAGCGGAAUGUUGCCAAGAGAAAAGAGCCGAAAGGAAAAGUCGGGGAAAGCGGAUAUGUGAGCGGAAACUGAAGCAAUCGGCAAAAGCAGGAUGAUGCCCAUUGAUGCCCCAUGAUGGCCGAUGAUGAUGGCAAAGUGCUUUAAUUGAAAACAAAACGUAUUUCAUGAAAAUAACUCGCAAUUUGAUUUUAGCAAAUAAUUUCCAAUUGAACGCUUGCCACUUGUCAUAGUCAGAAGUGAAGCUUCAAUCGGGGAGAAGCAACAGUUUGUCAAUUUCCGCUGGCAGUAAAAUGGGGAAAAACCAAAUGGGAGGGUUGUGAUGGGUGAAAAAUGGGUUUGGGUUUUAUUUACUGAUUGGUUUUGCCAGAGAGCAGCUACAGCCCAGAUUAAUCGUCUGCAUAUUCACGGGAAAACUUUAGUUUGCACCGACAGACACGGUAAGUACUUGACUUUUGCUCUGUGUGCGAGACUGUACCUCUCUGUACGUGUGUGUGUGCGUGUGUGUGUACUGUGUUCCACUUCAACAUCCAAUUCAUGCCUAUCAAUCCCACUAACCAAACUCUAUUAGCCCACCUUUACCCCUUCGCCUUCAGCCUGUUGAAAAGCCGGACUUAAUUUGUACAUUUGGUUAACAUUUUUCCAAA